CCAGUGCAGGUGAUUUACCUUAGCUCGUUUUUAACUACAUGUUAUGUAUGUAAUUUGGCAUGCUAGUGCUCAUUUUGUUUAUUUUCUUUUGUUCUCUACCAAUGUUCAGGCCGCUGCCCAAGACUAAGAGUUCAACGUCUUGAAGUUGACUCCUGCCGAUUUUUUUUAGCACAAUCAUUAAGUAUGGUUUUUUUUUUUUCAACACAGAUUGCUUCUUAUUUUCACUUCAUGCGUGACGGUGGAAAAAUUUCUUUCGAGUUGUGGAGAUAGUAUUGAGAUAUAGUUUUUGGUCGGAUGUCAUAUCAUAGUGUUACAUAAAAUUCAUGAAACAGAAUUUCGUCUUUGCUAAUUAAUGCCUAGUUUUCAAUGGAGUUUUGAUCCACAGAAGGCAGAUAGAUGCUUUGUUAAUUUCCAUUCCUCACCAUUUGGACUAACCUGACGGAAUUUGGAUCCUUUCUGGACCUUAGUGUUCGUAGGCUAAGGUAAGGACCACGAAAUAUGGGCCCUUGGUUUGUGUGCUAGAGAGAUCGAAGUACUUGAUUUUUGUGACCC
rnacentral:lncRNA from 1 species